AGUGAACGCUGGCGGUAGGCCUAACACAUGCAAGUCGAACGGCAGCACAGUAAGAGCUUGCUCUUACGGGUGGCGAGUGGCGGACGGGUGAGGAAUACAUCGGAAUCUACUUUUUCGUGGGGGAUAACGUAGGGAAACUUACGCUAAUACCGCAUACGACCUACGGGUGAAAGCAGGGGAUCUUCGGACCUUGCGCGAUUGAAUGCGCCGAUGUCGGAUUAGCUAGUUGGCGGGGUAAAGGCCCACCAAGGCGACGAUCCGCAGCUGGUCUGAGAGGAUGAUCAGCGACACUGGAACUGAGACACGGACCUGGCUCCUACGGGAGGCAGCAGUGGGGAAUAUUGGGCAGUGGUCGGAAGCCUGGUCCAAUCAUACCGCGUGGGUGGAGAAGGCCUUCGGGUUGUGAAGCCCUUUUGUUGGUAAAAAAAAGCAGCAGGUUAAUACCACGCGGUUCUGACGGUACCCAAAGAAUAAGCACCGGCUAACUUCGUG
rnacentral:rRNA from 1 species